rnacentral:rRNA from 1 species
UGGGGAAUAUUGGACAAUGGGGGCAACCCUGAUCCAGCCAUGCCGCGUGUGUGAAGAAGGCCUUUUGGUUGUAAAGCACUUUAAGCAGUGAAGAAGACUCCAUGGUUAAUACCCAUGGACGAUGACAUUAGCUGCAGAAUAAGCACCGGCUAACUCUGUGCCAGCAGCCGCGGUAAUACAGAGGGUGCAAGCGUUAAUCGGAAUUACUGGGCGUAAAGCGAGCGUAGGUGGCUUGAUAAGUCAGAUGUGAAAGCCCCGGGCUUAACCUGGGAACGGCAUCUGAUACUGUUAGGCUAGAGUAGGUGAGAGGAAGGUAGAAUUCCAGGUGUAGCGGUGAAAUGCGUAGAGAUCUGGAGGAAUACCGAUGGCGAAGGCAGCCUUCUGGCAUCAUACUGACACUUAGGUUCGAAAGCGUGGGUAGCAAACA